AUGGUGGACAUAAUGGAAUUCCCCAAAGGCACAUCAACACCAGCAUGUUAACACAGUAUAUUGACAGAACCAUGUGAUUCAUGUCCGGGAAGCUGGAAAAAUUCAUCCCACUGGAAAAAUGUUUAUUCUUUCAGAUGGAGAAGGAAAAAAAAUGCAACCACUGAAUUGAUAAAGCCACUUGACAGGAAAUCUCUGGAAUCAUAGAAGUAAUUGGAAACAUCACAGCCGUGGCAACCAUACUGUGUGCAUCUUAUAUCUUGUUAAGGAAGAUUAUAAUCGCUUUGAUCUUGAACUUUACAAUGAAGCUGUAAAAAUUAUCAAUGAGUUUCCUCAGUUUUUUUCUUUAGAGCUUAUACAAUAUGAAUAA
rnacentral:lncRNA from 1 species